AAGAUUUUAAGUUAAUUUAAACUAACAUCCUUCAAAGCUGUCAAAAAAAGUCAAAAACCUUUUAAAUCUUG
rnacentral:tRNA from 1 species